rnacentral:tRNA from 1 species
GGUCUGUUAGCUCAGUUGGUAGAGCAUGGUGUUUGCAACACCAGGGUUGUGGGUUCGAUUCCCACGGGGGGCCA